rnacentral:rRNA from 1 species
CCUACGGGUGGCAGCAGUGGGGAAUAUUGCACAAUGGGGGAAACCCUGAUGCAGCGACGCCGCGUGAGUGAAGAAGUAUUUCGGUACGUAAAGCUCUAUCAGCAGGGAAGAAAAUGACGGUACCUGACUAAGAAGCCCCGGCUAACUACGUGCCAGCAGCCGCGGUAAUACGUAGGGGGCAAGCGUUAUCCGGAUUUACUGGGUGUAAAGGGAGCGUAGACGGCAGCGCAAGUCUGGAGUGAAAUCCCAUGGCUUAACCAUGGAACUGCUUUGGAAACUGUGCAGCUAGAGUGCAGGAGAGGUAAGCGGAAUUCCUAGUGUAGCGGUGAAAUGCGUAGAUAUUAGGAGGAACAGCAGGGGCGAAGGCGGCUUACUGGACUGUAACUGACGUUGAGGCUCGAAAGCGUGGGGAGCAAACAGGAUUAGAUACCCCGGUAGUC